CGACGUGAGCAAUCUGCCUUUGGAUGGGGGAUAACAGCCGGAAACGACUGCUAAUACCGCAUAAUGCAGCGGGACCGCAUGAUUUUGCUGCCAAAGAUUUAUCGUCCAAAGAUGAGCUCGCGUCUGAUUAGCCAGUUGGCGGGGUAACGGCCCACCAAAGCGACGAUCAGUAGCCGGACUGAGAGGUUGAACGGCCACAUUGGGACUGAGACACGGCCCAGACUCCUACGGAAGGCAGCAG
rnacentral:rRNA from 1 species